rnacentral:rRNA from 1 species
AUUGAACGCUAGCGGGAUGCCUUACACCUGCAAGUCGAACGGAGUGGCGACCGGGUGCGUACUGUAUCGGAACGUGCCCAUUCGCGGGGGAUAACUACGCGUCCGCGUAGCUCAUACCGCCUCCUAUUGGAGCGGCCUCUAUCGGAUUAGCUAGUUGGUGGGGUAGCGGCGCACCAAGGCGACGAUCCGUAGCUGGUUUGAGAGGACGACCAGCCACACUGGGCAUGAUACACGGCCCAGACUCCUACGGGAGGCAGUAGGGGGGAAUUUUGGACAAUGGGGGAAACCCUGAUCGAGCCAUCCCGCGUGUGGGAUGAAGGCCUUCGGGUUGUAAAGCACUUUUGGCAGGGAAGCGGUACCUGCAGAAUAAGCACCGGCUAACUACGUGCCAGCAGCCGCGGUAAUAC